rnacentral:rRNA from 1 species
UCCUACGGGAGGCAGCAGGGGGGAAUUUUGGACAAUGGGCGAAAGCCUGAUCCAGCAAUGCCGCGUGUGUGAAGAAGGCCUUCGGGUUGUAAAGCACUUUUGUCCGGGAAGAAAGUAUUUGUGCUAAUACCAUGGAUAGAUGACGUACCGGAAGAUAAGCCCGCA